GACGAACGCUGGCGGCGUGCCUAACACAUGCAAGUCGAGCGAGUGAAUCUCCUUCGGGAGUGAAGCUAGCGGCGGACGGGUGAGUAACACGUGGGCAACCUGCCUCAUAGAGGGGAAUAGCCUUCCGAAAGGGAGAUUAAUACCGCAUAAGAUUGUAGCUUCGCAUGAAGUAGCAAUUAAAGGAGCAAUCCGCUAUGAGAUGGGCCCGCGGCGCAUUAGCUAGUUGGUGAGGUAAUGGCUCACCAAGGCGACGAUGCGUAGCCGACCUGAGAGGGUGAUCGGCCACAUUGGGACUGAGACACGGCCCAGACUCCUACGGGAGGCAGCAGUGGGGAAUAUUGCACAAUGGGGGAAAACCUGAUGCAGCAACGCCGCGUGAGUGAUGACGGCCUUCGGGUUGUAAAGCUCUGUCUUCAGGGACGAUAAUGACGGUACCUGAGGAGGAAGCCACGGCUAACUACGUGCCAGCCGCCGCCGUAACAC
rnacentral:rRNA from 1 species